rnacentral:tRNA from 1 species
CAAAACAAAGCAUUUAUCAUGAUGUAGUUCGCUUACACCGAAAAGAAGGCCUUAGCCUGUUUUGA